rnacentral:snRNA from 1 species
UUAGGUAGGGGAUUUGGCUGUGACAUCUCUCAUUCCACUGACCUCCAUGGUUGACUCGGCUGGUCUGAUAGCUAGGCUAAUGUCCCCUUCCUGCUUCACUACUGCAUGUAUGUUCCCUGCCAUAGCUGCAGCAUGCUGUUGAAGAGAACAGGUUUCUUGAUGGAAGAUCAUUCCUUGGUCAUUCUUUAAGGUAUACCAGUAGCUAUGCUCCCCUGCUAGAACUCCACACAAGCUCUAUAAGAUCCACUUGUAGGAGAAUUUAAGGUAGUCAAGCUUCUCAACUCCCAACAUAGCCAAAUGAGGCACUUCUUGCCGCCAUGUCUUUCUUU